rnacentral:rRNA from 1 species
AGUGAACGCUGGCGGUAGGCCUAACACAUGCAAGUCGAACGGCAGCACAGUAAGAGCUUGCUCUUACGGGUGGCGAGUGGCGGACGGGUGAGGAAUACAUCGGAAUCUACUUUUUCGUGGGGGAUAACGUAGGGAAACUUACGCUAAUACCGCAUACGACCUACGGGUGAAAGCAGGGGAUCUUCGGACCUUGCGCGAUUGAAUGAGCCGAUGUCGGAUUAGCUAGUUGGCGGGGUAAAGGCCCACCAAGGCGACGAUCCGUAGCUGGUCUGAGAGGAUGAUCAGCCACACUGGAACUGAGACACGGUCCAGACUCCUACGGGAGGCAGCAGUGGGGAAUAUUGGACAAUGGGCGCAAGCCUAAUCCAGCCAUACCGCGUGGGUGAAGAAGGCCUUCGGGUUGUAAAGCCCUUUUGUUGGGAUAGAAAAGCAGCAGGUUAAUACCCCGCUGUUCUGACGGUACCCAAAGAAUAAGCACCGGCUAACUUCGUG